GACGAACGCUGGCGGCGUGCCUAAUACAUGCAAGUAGGACGCAGUUGCGAACGUGUGAGUAACGCGUAGGUAACUACCUAUUAGAGGGGGAUAAAUAUUGGAAACGAUAGCUAAUACCGCAUACUAGUAGAUUGAGCUGCGUUGUAUUAGCUAGUAGGUCGGGUAAUGGCCUACCUAGGCAACGAUACAUAGCCGACCUGCAGAGGUGAUAGGCCCACCUGGGACUGUGGCACGGCCCAGACUCCUUCCGGAGGCAGCAGUAGGGAAUCUUCGGCAAUGGGGCGCACCCUGAACGAGCAACGCCGCGUUGGUGCAGAAGGUUUUCCGAGCGUAAAACUCUGUUGUUAAUGGAGCGGUACUUAACCAGAAAGGGACGGCUAACUACGUGCCAGCCGCCGCGGUAAUUC
rnacentral:rRNA from 1 species